ACCUCCUUCCUCAUUUAUAGAGUCUUGCAAACUUUUCCCCACAGGCCAGCCUGGAGCUAUAAUUCACUCAAUCCCUGCAUCCCAAGUAGGUGAGAUUACAGGCAUGAGCUGCUAUGCCUGGCCCCUAAGUCACAGUACUUUUAAUGUCCACUUUUGCUAUUGUGUUGUCAUUAUUUUCAGAAGGUAACUUUCAGACUUCUCACCUAGUCAGUGGAGCUAAUAGAAAUAAAAUAAUUUCAUUAUACUAUUUAUCUUUAAAAA